GUGUACACUGUAGCAGCACAUAUACUGAAUCCAACAUACAGAGGCGGUUAGUGUGACCCCUGUGCAAGGAUGACACUCACAUUUGUGAGGCACCACACAUUCUU